rnacentral:pre_miRNA from 1 species
AUAACAUUCAAUCCGUCGGUCUACCGAGCAAUUACACCCAUUCGGUGGAAGAUCUUCCCUUCGUCGU